AUGCACGCUGGCGGCGUGCCUAAUCCCUGCAAGUCGCGCGCACAGACGAGGAGCUUGCUCCUCUGACGUUAGCGGCGGACGGGUGAGUAACACGUGGAUAACCUACCUAUAAGACUGGGAUAACUUCGGGAAACCGGAGCUAAUACCGGAUAAUAUAUUGAACCGCAUGGUUCAAUAGUGAAAGACGGUUUUGCUGUCACUUAUAGAUGGAUCCGCGCCGCAUUAGCUAGUUGGUAAGGUAACGGCUUACCAAGGCAACGAUGCGUAGCCGACCUGAGAGGGUGAUCGGCCACACUGGAACUGGGACACGGUCCAGACUCCUACGGGAGGCAGCAGUAGGGAAUCUUCCGCAAUGGGCGAAAGCCUGACGGAGCAACGCCGCGUGAGUGAUGAAGGUCUUCGGAUCGUAAAACUCUGUUAUUAGGGAAGAACAAAUGUGUAAGUAACUAUGCACGUCUUGACGGUACCUAAUCAGAAAGCCACGGCUAACUACGUG
rnacentral:rRNA from 1 species